rnacentral:rRNA from 1 species
UGGUGGAGUGAUUUGUCUGGUUAAUUCCGUUAACGAACGAGACCUUGGGGGUUUGUUGCGGUGGGCCGCGCGCCUCGGGCGCGCGGUGCGGGGCGCCGCGAGGCGCUCCCAAGGCCACCCUCCGAACACGACCGCCGGAGCGAUCCGGAGGAGGUGCGAGGCAAUAACA